UACGAAGGGGGCUAGCGUUGCUCGGAUUUACUGGGCGUAAAGGGCGCGUAGGCGGACAGUUUAGUCAGAGGUGAAAGCCCAGGGCUCAACCUUGGAAUUGCCUUUGAUACUGGCUGUCUUGAGUACGGGAGAGGUGAGUGGAACUCCGAGUGUAGAGGUGAAAUUCGUAGAUAUUCGGAAGAACACCAGUGGCGAAGGCGACUCACUGGCCCGUUACUGACGCUGAGGCGCGAAAGCGUGGUAGCGAACAGG
rnacentral:rRNA from 1 species